UGGGGGAUAUUGCACAACGGGCGAAAGCCUGAUGCAGCGACGCCGCGUGGGGGAUGAAGGCCUUCGGGUUGUAAACUUCUUUUGCUCUGAACAAGGCAUGCUAAUGGGUGUGUUGAGUGUAGGGGUUGAUUAGCGCCGGCUAACUACGUGCCAGCAGCCGCGGUAAUACGUAGGGCGCGAGCGUUGUCCGGAAUUAUUGGGCGUAAAGGGCUUGUAGGUGGCUGGUUGCGUCUGUCGUGAAAGCUCAUGGCUUAACUGUGGGUUUGCGGUGGGUACGGGCUGGCUUGAGUGCAGUAGGGGAGGCUGGAAUUCCUGGUGUAGCGGUGGAAUGCGCAGAUAUCAGGAGGAAUACCGGUGGCGAAGGCGGGUCUCUGGGCUGUUACUGACACUGAGGAGCGAAAGCAUGGGGAGCGAACAGG
rnacentral:rRNA from 1 species